UACGUAGGGUGCAAGCGUUGUCCGGAAUUAUUGGGCGUAAAGAGCUCGUAGGCGGCUUGUCGCGUCGAAUGUGAAAACUCGGGGCUCAACCCCGAGCUUGCAUUCGAUACGGGCAGGCUAGAGUUCGGUAGGGGAGACUGGAAUUCCUGGUGUAGCGGUGAAAUGCGCAGAUAUCAGGAGGAACACCGGUGGCGAAGGCGGGUCUCUGGGCCGAUACUGACGCUGAGGAGCGACAGCGUGGGGAGCAAACAGG
rnacentral:rRNA from 1 species